rnacentral:rRNA from 1 species
UACGUAGGGUGCGAGCGUUGUCCGGAUUUACUGGGCGUACAGCGCGCGCAGGCGGAUCUGGACGUGCCGUGUGACAGCCCACCGCUCACCGGUGGAAGGCCACGGUACACGACAGGUCUGGAGGCAGGGAGAGGGAUGUGGAAUGCCCGGUGGAGCGGUGAAAUGCGUAGAGAUCGGGCGGAACACCAGCGGCGAAGGCGGCAUCCUGGCCCUGACCUGACGCUGAGGCGCGAGA